ensembl:lncRNA
AAGAGGGUUCGGCGUUUCUGGUUCUUGAACUGGAGUCCUGAGCUCAGGAGAAAGGGGUUUGCACAAAAGGCCGGUUGCCUAGCUGCCUGCGAGGAGCCUCGCUGCCGCUGCCAGGCCGGCUUUGUGUCUGCAAGGUCUCCGACUGAACGGCAUCUUCUGGAGAAUCCACUGGAAUGCAGUUGGGGAGAGGAUACCCCCUCCCUACCCCCCCCUUCAGCUUAAUGUUAUUCAGUUUUUCAGCGGGCAGUAGGGAGCCAUUCACAGGUUGCCAUAGUUAUUCACAACCCUUUUUCCAGCUCAAUUGAAUUGACCUCUGAUGGGGAGGUUUUCACGCACUCCCCUCUGUGGGCUGGUUCCAAAUUGGCUGUUUUCAAGGAUGUUUGUCGGACUGCAGAAUCGCCCAUAAAUACUUUAGACGUGUGGAAAUGUCUUGAGUCUAAGACGGAUAAUGGAGGGAGUAAUCAAGCACACUGUCUUGGUUCGGACUCCCGAGCCUUGGCAUUGUGUGUAUUUGUAAUAUGAAUAUUUGAAUAUGUUCAUUCUACCCAACGUGAUUAUUAUUAAAUCCGCGGUGUGAGAUCUCAAUAAAAUACAUCUUUACGGUUCCAUUCACGCUGUAAUAUUCUUGUGCUUUAAAGUUGAAACUCUGCUCCAGUAGUGAUUUGGUUGGUAGCAUCUGUGUUCCGUGGUGGAGUUGGGCUGGAGGGGUAAUGUCUUGGAUUUAGUUGCGUGUGCCUGCGGCGUUGACGCCGUCCUGUUGCUUUCAUCCGCUCCGCGUGGCCUCGCUGCUCGCUGUGCUUCAGCGAUGAGACACGCCGUCAUUAGACGGACUGUCAUCACAGAUUAGGCUCCAGGGAUCAGAUGGGAUGUGCCUCUUCCUCUUCAGUUGGUGUUUUCACUGUCUCUCCCGCGUCCUGCGUUCGGCUCCGGUUACCAGGACGCUUGGCCUCCUGGAAAGCAGCGACUGCAAAGUCCGGAUCCACUUUCUCAGACUGCGUUUUUAAGACGAGCAAACUCCCUCAUUCGCUCAGUUACAGGGGAGUUUACAGCAAUUUAUUUUUGUCGGCGCAUGAGAACCCUUUUGCGUCAUGCACUCGCGGUCACAUGCAGGGAUCUCACACCAACAUUAACCCAGUUAAUUGAGGGAAGCUAUUGGAUGAACACAAGAAUGUGAGAACCUUGACCGAAGCCCCGCUGUGGGAGAGAGAAGCAGCCUGCUGUGGUUACACGGCCUCAUGGCUGAGAAGUUGAGAAAAGUGCAUCUCUGCAGCCUCUGAUUGAGAAGACCACCCAAUUAUGACAGCGAAUGAAAGGUGGGAGGCUUUUCCCCACGAAACCACGAGCAAAACGGUGCCUGCUACAAAAAAGUCUGCACCUUUUAAUCACUAUGAAGCUCAGAGACGACAAAGUUUUUCUUGACCUUCUCGCAUGAAGAAUCC